rnacentral:rRNA from 1 species
AUUGAACGCUGGCGGCAUGCCUUACACAUGCAAGUCGAACGGUAACGGGCCUUCGGGUGCCGACGAGUGGCGAACGGGUGAGUAAUGCAUCGGCACGUACCUUUCCGUGUGGGAUACCGUAGCGAAAGUUACGCUUAUACCGCAUAGUGUGUGAGCAGGAAAUCAGGGGAUCGCAAGACCUUGCGCUGAUUGAGCGGCCGAUGUCAGAUUAGCUAGUUGGUGAGGUAAAGGCUCACCAAGGCGACGAUCUGUAGCGGGUCUGAGAGGAUGAUCCGCCACACUGGAACUGAGACACGGUCCAGACUCCUACGGGAGGCAGCAGUGGGGAAUUUUGGACAAGGGGGGCAACCCUGAUCCAGCCAUGCCGCGUGAGUGAAGAAGGCCUUCGGGUUGUAAAGCUCUUUCGGCCGGGAAGAAAUCGUAUGGGCUAAUACCCUGUGCGGAUGACGGUACCGGCAUAAGAAGCACCGGCUAACUACGUGCCAGCCGCCGCCGUAACAC